AAUCAACGCUGGCGGCGUGCCUCAGACAUGCAAGUCGAACGCGAAAGGUUCCUUCGGGGACCGAGUAGAGUGGCGCACGGGUGAGUAACACGUAGGUAAUUUGCCUUUGGGUGGGGAAUAACUCAGGGAAACUUGAGCUAAUACCGCAUAAUGCAGCGGCUCGACAUCGAGACAGUUGUUAAAGCGGGGGAUUCGCAAGAACCUCGCGCCUAAAGAGAAGCCUGCGGCAGAUAGCUAGUUGGUAAGGUAAUGGCUUACCAAGGCGACGAUCUGUAACCGGCCUGAGAGGGCGGUCGGUCACACUGACACUGACAUACGGGUCAGACUCCUACGGGAGGCAGCAGUCGGGAAGUUUUGGGCAAUGGGCGAAAGCCUGACCCACGCAACGCCGCGUGAAGGAUG
rnacentral:rRNA from 1 species